UCAAGUGCAAAGAUGACCAAAAUCUGUGGGAAUGAUGAUUUUUAACGUGUCAUGUUUCAUUAAAAAUCCCUGAGGCAAAUGUUGGAAGGUCUAGGUUGUGUUUUGUUUGUUUUGUUUUGCUCGAGGACUAGCAAAAUCUAAGUGUGGGGGAAUUUGAUAGGAGCAUAUUUAUGCGACUGAGUUAGCUUGUUCUCAUGCAUUUAUGUUGUUAUUUCUUAGUUAAUUAUGUAUUUUAAGCUAUUUUCGUGUGUUUGUAUGUCCAUAGGCCUUAUAAAGCAAUAAGAUGCAUUGUGGUGCAUUUUGGAGCAGUUUUGGGCUUAGAAUGGAUAGCACAUGCAUGGAGCAAGGUGGAUGGAUGAAAUUGAAGACUAAAGAGGCUAGGAAUGUGUUAAAGAGAAAGAAGAAUUAAUGUAAAAAGGACAAAGAGCUCAGCCACAAAGGGGUGUUACUCCACCAUUCACCUUUCCAUCAUUGUCGUGCACCACCAUUGCACUCCCUUUGGAUUCCUAUGUCGUGCAACACCACUCCAUUUUACCCCCCCCCCCAAGCUUUGCAUCAUCACUUCACUUUCACCUUUGAAUCAUUUCAAACACCACUCAAUGCACUCAUUGCUGCAACACUACUCCAUUUUACCCCCCAUGCUUUGCAUCAUUACUUCAUUUUCACCCUUGAAUCAUUUCAAACACCACCAAUUUCCCUCCAUUGCCGUGCACUUCCUCUAUAAAAGGAAGUGUGUGUGGCAGCCAUAUAGUUUAGUUUUUGCUUGAUCAUUCAUCCCCAUUUCAAUACAACCUUUAUCCAAACACAUCCAUUCAUCUUUACAUCCAUUCCUCCAUACAAACAAACCUUCAAACACUCACCAACACCUUGUGCCGUAGCAAAGGAAGGGAAGGAAAGUGCUUGGACGUGCUUGCUGUCCAACUUGGAUCGUUGGAGCGUUUAGGUGUUUUCUUUCUUUUGUUUCUAAUGUUUAAAUUCAUUUCCUUUCGUUUGUUGUAAAUAUGAGUGGCUAAACCCCUCUUGGCUAGGGGUGAUUUCAAAGCCAUGAUUAUAUGUGCAAUAUAAUUUGAUAAAUUCCAGUUAUGAACUCUUGAAUCGUGAAUGCAAUUGGCUUAACUAUUUGAUUGAUAACUUGUUUGUAUUUGUUAAUUAAGGGUCGACACUUAAUUGGCACGCAUAAAUCCGUUGCUAGAAUAUAAGGAAGUUUCAAAUAAUUGUUACAAACUUAUAUUCACAUGUAGUGAAGGUCACUUAUAAACGAUCGCGUUAAGUUCAAUUCCUAGCAUAAGCGACAUGAUGUCAUAGUUGCAAGUGCUUUGUCAAUGCUUAUGAUUUUCAUUAAACGUAAUGAUCUUUGAUUGUAUCUCUAUUAUGAUGUCAUGUAGGGAACUUUUGAAGAAUGAUUUGGGUUGUCGAAUGAUGUCAUCCAAUCCAAUAAAACAAGGAAAAUCUGAGAUUUCACUAGUGAUGUCACGGUUAAUUUGGAGCAUUGUCGUUCAUAAUUCAGUGAAGUAGUAACUGGAAAUCAAAUUAUUUGCAUACAUGUCAUGUGUGGAGAAAAAGCCUUUAGCUAUCCCAUCCAUCAUCUUAUUUCUCAUAUUCGUUUUACAAUCUGUCUAGUUUUUCAUACUUGUUUGUUUGUUUCAACUUCAUCCAAAUCAAAACCCCCCUUUUUUAGUUUCUUGUUUCAAAGUGUUUCAAAUAUGUUUUAGUUUGUGUUUUUAAGUGUUUUGAUUCAAGUAAAAGUCAAAUUUUCAUCCAAAGUCAUUCCUAGUCUAGUUUAAGUUUAUUUAGUUGUUUUAAGCUGUUUUGAUUAUUUUAAGUUUCCUUUGAGUCUUGUGAGUCUUGUUAAGUGUUUUUAAGUUUAGUUUUAUGUUUUUGAGUCAGUUUAGAGGUUAUUAGCAAGCCCUCCUAAUCCCCGGUCCAGAACGAUCCCUACUUAUACUUGUACUACAGUUGUCAAAAGAGGGUUAAAUUUGUGUGUUAAGUUAAUUUUUGCAUCACUAACUAAGUCACAUAAAUAUGCUCCUAUCAUCCCCUUAGUGUUUCAAGUUAUUUGCUGCAUUCAAGAGUGAAUUCUAAGUUGAUUUCCUUACUUUGCUUACUAUUGCUUUAAGAACCUUUGUUUAUCCUUACCUUUCUUUGUUAGCCAAUACCCUUAGCCCUGUUACAACCCUUAGACUUUAAUCUUGGUUGUUGUAUGUUUCAAUGUGGAGUUUGGGAUUGGUAUGAGCAUAUGGUAUUCUUGGUUCUUGCAUCUAAGUAGUGGCAUUCCGUUCAUGAGAUCAUAUAUAUAUACAUGCAUUAAUAAUUCCAGAAAGUGCCUUCUUUGAUUAUAACAUAUGUGAGUGCUAGUCUACAUGUUUACAUUAAUCUUCUCACAUAUACCUAGUAUAGGGAGUGUAGUCAGAAAAUCUGUGUGAAAAUAGAUAGUAUAUCUAGUGAGGAAUUGAGGGAAUUCUCUAAGGCAUGUUACUACAUUCAAAACAUUGUUCUAAUUGAUUAAAUGUGAGCUAGUGAGUGGUGACUGGGAUUAAGUGUAUGCUCGAGAGUAAGGAUGGCUAAAAUUUAUGUGAGUAGUGAUUUUUAGCAUGUCAUGUUUCAUUGGAAAUCCCUGAGGCGAACGUUGGAAGGUCUAGGUUAUGUUUUGUUUGUUUUGUUUUGCUCGAGGGCUAGCAAAAGCUAAGUGUGGGGGAAUUUGAUAGGAGCAUAUUUAUGCGACUUAGUUAGCUUGUUUUCUUGCACUUUCAUAGUUAGUUUCUAUUUAUUAUAGUGUUUUAAGCUAUUUUCGUGUGUUUGUAGGUCCAAAUGACAAAGUUGGCAAGAAAGUGCAUUUUGGAGCAUUUAGGAGCAUUUUAGAGUAGUUGUGGGCCAAGAAUGGAUAGGACAUGCAUGGAGCAAGGUGGAUGGACGUUUUUGAAGUUCAAGAGGCUAGGAAUGUGCUAAAAAGAUGAAGAAAAUAAAUUCAAGACAAAAAAGAUAAGGAAUUAGCUCAAAAGAAGGAAACAUUAUCCAAAACCUUAUCCAACCUUAUGUUAUCCAAACAAACCUUAUCUUAUCUUAUCAUAUCCUAAUCUUAUCAUGCCUUAAAUCCAGUUGCAAGGGGACCUAAAAACUUGGUUUCUAGAAGCCUUAUCUGUUCCCUUCCUUUGUUGCACCUAAUAUAGAAAGAAAGAAGAUUGGUAAUAGGUCUCUUUUCUUUUGGAAAAAUCGAUCUAAGUGUAGCCUGUUUUUGAUUCAUCCAAUUGUGGAGAGUGAGUCUAGUUUCAUACUCUUUUGAUCCACUUGCCCGGGAGGGAGUAUUCCGGUUACGGCUAGGAAGUUUGCCCAUUCGACCGCAAGAAGAGGGAGAAGAAGCUUCGUAGUGGCAUUCCUCCGACAAGCUACCGAACUCCUAACCGAAUAAUAAAGACGAUCUCGAGUUGAUGUUCCGGUUUAUUAUGCCUUUUAUUUCUUAAUAUUAAUAGUAAAUAUCCCUAACUGCUAAGUAAUCCACCAAAAGCGGAGGUCUUUGUCAACAGAGCAUUGGUGCUGAUGUGAAAAUUAACUAACACACAAAUUAAACCCUCUUCUUGACAAUUGUAGUAUGGAUAAGUAGGGAUUGUUCUAGACCGGGGAUUAGGAGGGAUUGCUAAUCUACUCUAAACUGACUCAAAAACACAGAAAUAAACUUAGAAACACUUAACUAGACUCAAAGAACUCAAAACUAACUACAAUGACUCAAAACAGCUUAAAACAACUAGAUAGACUUAAACUAGAUACUAGGAAGUGAUUUAGAUGAAAAUUGAAUUAAACUUGACUCAAAACACUUAAAAACACAAACUUAGAUAGAUUCUAACUAAUUUGACACACUAAAGUAAAGGGGAUUGGGUUUUGGAUGAAUUUAAAGUAAAACAAGUAACUAAAAACUUAAGACAGAUUUUGGACGAAUUUGGGAUAAAUGGAUGGGUGAUAGGCUAGCUAGAGGGUUCUUCUUCACACAUGACACACUUGUACAUGAAUCGAUUUCCAAUUGCUUUUCAAUAAAUUAUGAAGCUCAACACCCCAAAUUAACCGUAAUGCACUAAUUAACCCUCAGAUUUUCCUUUACUCAUUGAAUUGGAUGAAUGCAUGCGACAACCCAAAUCAUUCUCCAAAGGUCCCCUACAUGAAUGCAUAAUAGAGAUACAUACAAUCAGAGAUCAUUACGUUCCAUGAAAAUCAUAAGUGUUGACGAGACAUUUGUAACUAUGAAUGCAUGAUACGUUUGCCAAGAAUUCAAUUAACGCGAUUGUGACUAGCAACCUUCUCUACUCAUGAAUAUAAAUUUGUAACGAUUAGGUGAAACUCAUUUGUAUUCUAGCAUCAAAUUAAUGCGUGAAAACUAAGUAUGCAUCCUUAAUCAACAUACAAGAAUCAGUUUUGAAAAAACAGUUAAUUGAAUUGCAUUCACAACUUAUCAAAUCACAAUUGGAAGAAAUCAAUUCAUAUUGCAAAUAUGUUCAUGGCUUUGAAAUUCCCCCUAGCCAAAAGGGGUUUAGUUCCUCAUACUUGCAAUUAAAUAGAAAGAAUUGAAAUUAAACAUUGAAAACCAAAGUAGAAUACACCUAUAAUACUCCAGCAAUCCAAAUUGAAUGGCUAGAACAACUCCAAGCAAUCCUCUUUCCUUGCAAAUUUGUGGCACAAGGCUGUGAGUGGUGAAUGGAUGGUCUAAGGGUUGCGGCAGGUUAUGUAGAGAGGGUUAGGGGUGUGUAGAGAAUUUGUGGUGAUGGGUGUGAUGCGUAAAAUAACUAAACACACAAAUUAAACCCUCUUGUUGACAAUUGUAGUAUGGAUAAGUAGGGAUCGUUCUUAAACCGGGGAUUAGGAGGGAUUGCUAAAACACUUCUAAACUGACUCAAAUAACUAAAAACAAGUUACAAACACUUAACAAUACUCAAAGAAUGCAAAACUAAAUUUUAAACACUAAAACAAACCAAAAGACUCAAAACAGCACAAAAACACUCAAAAUUGCCUAAAAACACAAACUGGGCAAUUUUGAGCUCUAAAGACAAUUUGGACGAAAUUUGGGUUUCUAAAGGCUCAAAACACUUAAAAAGACAAUCUAAGACAAGUUCUAACUAAUAUGACUUCACAAAGUAAAGGGGGUUUGGUUUUGGACGAAAUUAAACUUGCAAAACAGAUUGUAAAUUGAAAACAGAUUCUAGACGAAUUUGGAUCAAACUAUGGAUGAUGGGCUAGCUAGAGGGUUCUUCUCCACACAUGACACACUUGCAUACAAACCAAUUUUCAGUUGUUCGUUCAAUAAAUCAUGAAACUCAACACCCCAGGUUAAUUAGGUCCGCUUAAAUUAACCUUCAAGUUCUCCUUAAGUUAUUGAAUUGGAUGGGAAAGCGCAUACAACAACUCAACACAUUCUUCAAAAGUCCUUUACGUGAAAAGCACAAUAAAGAUACAAUCAAAGAUCAUUAAGCAACAUGAGAACUAUAAGUAUUGACGAGGCACUCGUUACUAUGAUGAGCAUGAAACUUAUGCCAAGAAUUCAUUUAACGCGAUCGUUUAUAAGCGACCUCCACUACUUGUGAAUAUAAGUUUGUAACUAUUAGGUGAAACUCCCUUAUAUUCCAGCAUCAUAUUCAUGCAUGAAAACUAAGCGUGCACUCUUAACAAACAUACACGAAUACGUUAUCAAUCAAGCAGUUAAACGAAUUGAAUUCACAACUUAUGAAAUCACAACCAAAAGUAAUCAAUUCAUAUUGCAAGCAUGAACAUGGUUUCGAAUUACCCCCUAACUAAGAAGGGCUUAGUUCCUCAUAAACGCAAAACGAAGAUACAUAAAUUUAGACAUUGAAAACAAAGAAUGAAAACACCUAGAAAUGCUCCAACAAUCCAACGUCUUGAAUGGCAAGCACGUCCAAGGGUCACCUUCUUUCUUCUUUGCUGCGACACAAGGGUGUUUAGUGAUGAUUUGUGGUGAAUUGUGGUGGUGGAUGGAUGUAGGUAGGUUAUGGUGAAGGGUGGAAUGCCUAGAAUGGUCAGAAAGGGGUCUUAUUUAUAGGGAAAGGAAGGGCUACAAAUUUAUUAAUUUUGGAAUCAGAAAUCAAUGGAAAAUAGGCAAGAAAGGUGUAGGAAUUAAAGAGAAUAGGAAAGGGAAAUUCGGCAGAAAUUGUAGGACAAAUUUAGGAAUGUGUUUUGAGGCACAAAAUAGGUAAGAAUCCUCUCCCCUUGUGCAGCAAGAAUUGAAACAAAAGGGAAUGUAAUUUUGGGUCAGAAAUAGGUAAGAAAGAAUCAGAAAUUAAAGAGAAAUAGGUAACAAAGAUGUGGCACAAUAUAGGAAAGGUACUUAAGGUCAGAAAUUAAAAGGGAAAGAGGAUGUAUGGUGCGGCAAGGGACAAGGGAGAAAGGGAAAGGUGUUUUUGGUUCAGAAAUUAGGGAAACAUGGCAAGGGAAAUUGUUGCACAAGAGGAGACAAGGAGGAAACACAAAGGGGACAAGGCGCCACCUUUGUAGGAGGUGCUAAAAUUGUGUCUUCUAAGCUUCCAAACUGACUUCUAACAUCCUUUAGGCCUUCAAUUUCGUCAAUCAAUAUUACUCCAAGCAUAAGAUGAAUAUUCAUGCCCAAAACUGCUCCAAAAGGCUCCAAAAUGCAUCUUUUUGCAUACUUUGUCCUUAGAACCUGAAAACACACAAAAAUGGCUUUAAAAGACUAAAAUAACUAUGAAAUAACAAUGUAAAUGCACAAGAACAAGCCAACUAAGUCGCAUAAAUAUGCUCCUAUCAGGGUGAUAGAGGAUGGAUAGGUAGAUAGGUGGAUGAUGUUGAAUGGUGCGGCAAGGGGUUGUAUUUAUAGGGUUUUAGGAAAUCAAAACCCUAACUUAUUUUGGUUAACAAAAAUUAAUUCAAAUCCACUAGAAAAAGGGAAAUAAAAUCCGAAUCCUAAGGGAAAAGUGAAAGGGGAAUGUGGCAAAGGACUAGGGAAAGGGAAAGGAACCUAAAAAGAAAGGGAAAGUGGUUUAUGGCUGAUAAUAGGAAAGAGGAUGUACUCCCUUGUGCGGCAAGGAACUAGGGCUGAGAUUUAAGUGUCCCAAAAUGUCUUAGAGAAGAAAGGAAAGGUUUUACAUUGUUUAGGAAUAAGGAAACAUGGCAAGGAGAAAUGCUUCACAAGGAGGGACAAAGAGGGGACAAAGGGGAAACACAAAGGGGACAAGGCGCCACCUUUGUUGGAAUAGGUUGAAUUGUGUCUUUCCUUGUCUUCCAAGCUUUCAUUCUGAUUUCUUUUGACUUCUAGCCUCUUUUGGUCUUCAAUUUCGUCCAUACCCUUUGCUUCAAGCCUAUGCUAUCCAUUUCAUGCCCAAAACUGCUCCAGAAGGCUCCAAAAUGCACUUCUUUGCUUCUUUAACCCUUUGGACCUACAAACAUACGAAAAUGGCUUGAAAUACUAGAUUAACUAAGAAAUAACAACAUAAAUGCACAAGAACAAUCUAACUAAAUCACAUAAAUAUGCUCCUAUCAGGUGCCGCAUGUUUUAGGCCUUAUUCUUCUAGAAAUCAGCCACAUAACACUCCUUCUAGAAGUCCCUACAAAUCUGGCACCUCCCCCUAUUCUAGAAGCUCUAGAACCUGCAAUGCUUUUCCUUUUGGAUUUCUGCCAAACCCUAGUCCUUUUCCCUUGUGAAUUAGGUCGAACUUAUUCUCUCAUUUCAGGAAUUUGUGCCGUGUAUCUUAGCCUAUAAAUACAUCAUUAUGCCGCAUAACUUAGAUCACCACCCUUUACCAUAUAUUUCUACCCACGCACCCGUAUAUUCAGAUACAAUUGAGAGAUUUCAGAGAGUUCAAAGGUGUACUUGCAUGGAGGAAGGAGAAGAAGGAGCUCUGUACCAUGGCUUGUAAUCCAAUGAGGGUUCGAAAUCUGCCAUUGGAGUUGCUGGGACGUUCCUGGUUCUUUCUAUCCUUAGAUUUGUUUCAAUGUUGCUUAAAUUUGGUUUUAUGUUUUCAAAGACAUGAGGAACUAAUUUCUUUUUAGUUAGAGGUGAAUUCGAAGCCAUGACUAUAUGUUUUAUAUGAAUUGAUUACAUCCAGUUAUUGUUUCUUGAGUCUUGAAUGUGAUUUGCUUAUCUACGUUAUCAAAACUUGUUUAUGUAUGUUGACUGAGGUUGCAUACUUGAUUUGCAUGCAUGAACUUGAUGCUAGAGUAUAAGGGAGUUUCACCUAAUCGUUAUGAACUUAUAUUCACAAGUAGUAAAGUCACUAAUCAUGAUUGUGUUAAGUGAAUCCUAGGCAGGAGUAUCAUGCUUUUCAUAGUUACGAAUGUCUCGUCAAUGCUUAUGAUUUUCAAAGAACUUAAUGACCUUUGAUAUGUCUUUUUAUUAUGCUUUUCAUAGUUAGGGAACUUGAUAAGGAUAAUUUGGUUAUGAUGCGUAUCCCCUCCAAUUCAAUGAGUUAAGGAAAAUCUGAUGGUUAAUUUGUGCUAUCACGGUUAACUUGGGGAGUUGUCAUUCAUGGUCUAAGGGAACAAUACUGGAAAUUGGUUUAUAUGCAUAUGUAAUGUGUGGAGAAGGAUCCUUUGGAUAAGUUUUUACCAUUCAAAUCACCUAAUUUACUUUGUUUUGCAAUCUGUUUAAGUUUAGUUAAAUUUCGUCAAAAUCAAUCCCCCUUUUAAUUAAGUGUCUUAGAUUAGUUAGAAAAGCGUUUAAAUCUGUCCAAUUUAGUGUUUUGAGUCUUACUAGUCUUAAAUUCAUCCAAAUAACUCCCUAGAGUAUGUUAUGAGUCUUUUAAACUUAGUUUUGUUGUUUUGAGUAGUUUGAGUCAAUUUUAAGUCUUAAGUGUCUAGUUUUGUGUUUUUGAGUCUAGUUGAGUGUUUCUAAGUCUAGUUUGGUAUUUUUGAGUCAUAUUUGUGUAGUCCUCGUGCAAAACAAAACAAACAAAAUAAACAAAACAUAACCUAGACCUUCCAACAUUCGCCUCAGGGAUUUCCAAUGAAACAUGACAUGCCAAAGAUCACCACUCAAAUAGAUUUUAGCAAUCCUUAACCUCGAGCACACACUUAAUCAUAGUCACCACUUACUAGCUCGCAUUUAAUCAAUUAAAACAAUAUUUUGAAUGUAGUAACAUGCCUUAGAGAAUUCCCUCAAUUCCUCACAGGAUAUACUCUCUAUUUUCACAUAGAUUUUCUGACUACACUCCCUAUACUAAGUAUAUGUGAGAAGAUUGAUGUAAACAUGUAGACUAGUACUCACAUAUGUUUUAAACAAAGAAGGCAAUUUCUGGAAUUAUUAAUACAUGUAUAUAUAUAUAUGAUCUCAUGAAUGGAAUGCUACUACUCAAAAGCGAAAAUGAUGUGAUAGAAACUAGCACACAAAUUAAACCCUAUUAAGAUAGCUGUAGUAUAUGAAAGUAGGGAUCAUUCUAGGCUGGGGAUUAACUAGGGAUGCUAAUCUGCACAAAUGUGACUCAAAAACACAAAACUAGACUUAGAAACACUCAACUAGACACUAAAAAUUCAAAACACACUAAACACACUCUAAACAGCACAAUACUAGCAAACAGACUCAAAACAGACUCUAGGGAUUUAUUUGGACGAAAUUAAGACUAGUAAGACUCAAAACACUAAAUUGGACAGAUUUGAACACGUUUCUAACUAAUCUAACACACUUAAUUAAAGGGGGAAUUGUUUUGGAUGAAAUUAACUAAACUAAACACAUUGCAAAACAAAGUAAAUUAGGUACGAAAUUAGGUGAUUUGAAUGAUGAAAAACUAGCUAGAGGGUCCUUCUCCCACAUGAAACAUAUGCACAAAUUGAUUUCCAGUAUUGUUUCUUUAAACCAUGAAUGACAAUGCCCCCAAAUUAAUUGUGAAUGCACUAAUUAACUUCCAAAUUUUCCUAUGUUCAUUGAAUUGGAUGGACAGCACAUCGCAACCAAAUUAUUCUUCUUAAGUUCCCUAUAUGAACAGCAUGAUAGAGAUACAUAUUAAAGAUCAUUAAGUUCUAUGAAAAUCAUAAGCAUUGACAAGGCAUUCGUAACUAUGAACAACAUAAUACUCCUGCCAAGAAUUUACUUAACACGAUUGUGACCAACAAUCUCCACUACUUAUAAAUAUAAGUUCAUAACGAUUAGGUGAAAUUCCCUUAUAUUCUAUCAUCAAAUCCCUGCAUGCAAACUAAGUAUGCAUCCUUCAUAAACACACAAGAAUAAGUUCUCAAUAACGCAAAUAAGUAAAAUGUUUUACGAAACAAUAACUGGAGGUAAUCAAUUCCUAUAAAACAUAUGUCCAUGGCUUCGAAUUCACCUCUAACUACAAAGAAAUUAGUUCCUCAUGUUCAUAAUAAUUGAAAAGCAAAGUAAAAUAAACAUGGAAACGAAACGAGGGAAGAAAGAACUUUGAAAGUCUCCAAUGGUUGCAGGUGGCUUGCGGCACAACCCUUCUCUUCUCCAAUGGGAGCCACGGCAAAGUCUUCUCUCCUCCAAGCUUGCGGCAAAAAGGUAUUAAUUUCUGUCUAUUGUGGUUCUCUGCAGCACACCCUUCCUUGUGGCAUAAAUAGGUAUAUAUAUAUAUAUAUAUAUGUGUGUGUGUGUGUGUGUGUAGCAUGGCAAACCCUAGAGAUGAAGGAAAUUUUUUGUCCUAGCUAAGAACAAGUAAGAACAUUUGAAUACAUAUGCAAACUAUUAACACAUUAAAGUAGGCAUGCA
rnacentral:lncRNA from 1 species